GACUGACCCCGUGGCUUUAAGGUCCGGCGUGCCGUGUGCCUGCGGUAUCCUGUACGAGACAAAGCUGCCUUUCCUCGUGGGAAUGGACUGGCCGGGCUUUGGCAAUCUGGCCCCUCGAAAGACU